GGAAACGUGCCUGACAAAAAGGGUUGUUAUGAUAAGACAAGCAUAGAGGUUAGACCACACCCUCUCGGUUCCC
rnacentral:tRNA from 1 species